UACGAAGGGUGCAAGCGUUAAUCGGAAUUACUGGGCGUAAAGGGUGCGUAGGCGGUCUGUCGCGUCUGCUGUGAAAUCCCGAGGCUCAACCUCGGGUCUGCAGUGGGUACGGGCAGACUGGAGUGCGGUAGAGGAGAAUGGAAUUCCUGGUGUAGCGGUGGAAUGCGCAGAUAUCAGGAGGAACACCGAUGGCGAAGGCAGCUCGCUGGGACGGUACUGACGCUGAGGCGCGAAAGCGUGGGGAGCGAACAGG
rnacentral:rRNA from 1 species